AUUGAACGCUGGCGGCAGGCCUAACACAUGCAAGUAGAACGAGUGGCGGACGGGUGAGUAAUGUCUGGGAAACUGCCUGAUGGAGGGGGAUAACUACUGAAAACGGUAGCUAAUACCGCAUACCAUCGAAUGUGCCCAGAUGGGGUUGGCUAGUAGGUGGGGUAAAGGAUCACCUAGGAGACGAUACCUAGCUGGUCUGAAAGGAUGACCACCCUACAUGGAACUGAGCCACGGUCCAGACUCUUACGAGAGGCAGCAGUGGGGAUUAUUGCACAAUGGGGGCAAGCCUGAUGCAGCCAUGCGGCGUGUAUGAAGAGGGCCUGCGGGUUGUAAAGUACUUUCAGCGGGGAGGCGUUACCCGCAGAGGAAGCACCGGCUAACUCCGUGCCAGCAGCCGCGGUAAUUC
rnacentral:rRNA from 1 species